AGAAAAAGAAGGGAAAAGAAAAAGAAAAAGAGAAAAUCCCAAAAAUCCACAACUGACCAUCUUUUCUCUCCUUUCUCUCUGUCUCUUUUCUCUCUGUUUUCUUCUCUCUU
rnacentral:ribozyme from 13 species